GCCUGGGUGGCUCAGUCGGUUGAGCGUCUGACUUCGGCUCAGGUCAUGAUCUCGCGGUCUGUGAGUUCGAGCCCUGCGUCGGGCU
rnacentral:tRNA from 1 species